rnacentral:rRNA from 1 species
UACGUAGGGGGCAAGCGUUGUCCGGAUUUAUUGGGCGUAAAGAGCGUGUAGGCGGCCUGACAGGUCUGCUGUGAAAACUCGAGGCUCAACCUCGAGAUGUCGGCGGAAACCGGCUGGCUAGAGUCCGGAAGAGGAGAGUGGAAUUCCUGGUGUAGCGGUGAAAUGCGCAGAUAUCAGGAAGAACACCUAUGGCGAAGGCAGCUCUCUGGGACGGUACUGACGCUGAGACGCGAAAGCGUGGGGAGCGAACAGG